GGGGUGCUCGAGUGGCGAACGGGUGAGUAACACGUGAGUAACCUGCCCUUGACUUUGGGAUAACUUCAGGAAACUGGGGCUAAUACCGGAUAGGAGCUCCUGCUGCAUGGUGGGGGUUGGAAAGUUUCGGCGGUUGGGGAUGGACUCGCGGCUUAUCAGCUUGUUGGUGGGGUAAUGGCCUACCAAGGCGGCGACGGGUAGCCGGCCUGAGAGGGUGGACGGCCACAUUGGGACUGAGAUACGGCCCAG
rnacentral:rRNA from 1 species